UGGGGCUGUAGCUCAGUGGUAGAGCACUUGCUUGCCUAGCACAUGUGAGGCACUAGGUUCGAGCCUUAGCACCACAA
rnacentral:tRNA from 1 species